UAUAUUGCAGGUGAGGAAGGAAAAGUUGGGGUGUAGAAUUACAACGCUUCACCAGCUUGUUUCACCAUUUGGGAAGACUGACACGGCCUCUGUCUUGUUAGAGGCUAUUGGGUACAUUAGGUUCCUUCAGAGUCAGAUUGAGGCUCUCAGCUUACCGUACACGGGCAGUGGAUCAUCGGGAAAAAUGAUGAUGAUGCGUGCUAAUUAAUAAC